rnacentral:rRNA from 1 species
AACGAACGCUGGCGGCAGGCCUAACACAUGCAAGUCGAACGAAGUCUUCGGACUUAGUGGCGCACGGGUGAGUAACACGUGGGAAUAUACCUUACGCUGGGGGAUAACAUCGGGAAACUGAUGCUAAUACCGCAUACGCCCUUCGGGGGAAAGAUUUAUCGGCGAAAGAUUAGCCCGCGUCCGAUUAGCUAGUUGGUGAGGUAAUGGCUCACCAAGGCUCCGAUCGGUAGCUGGUCUGAGAGGAUGACCAGCCACACUGGGACUGAGACACGGCCCAGACUCCUACGGGAGGCAGCAGUGGGGAAUAUUGGACGAUGGGCGCAAGCCUGAUCCCGCCAUGCCGCGUGAGUGAUGAAGGCCUUAGGGUUGUAAAGCUCUUUCACCCACGACGAUGAUGACGGUAGUGGGAGAAGAAGCCCCGGCUAACUUCGUG